UACGUAGGGUGCAAGCGUUGUCCGGAAUUAUUGGGCGUAAAGAGCUCGUAGGCGGUCUGUUGCGUCCGCUGUGAAAACUCGGGGCUUAACCCCGAGCCUGCAGUGGAUACGGGCAGACUAGAGGUAGGUAGGGGAGGAAUGGAAUUCCCGGAUGUGAGCGGUGAAAUGCGCAGAUAUCAGGAGGAACACCAAUGGCGAAGGCAGCACUCUGGGACGUGACUGACGCUGAGACGCGAAAGCGUGGGGAGCAAACAGG
rnacentral:rRNA from 1 species